AGUAAAGUACCAACUAAGCCACCUCAACAAGCCUGCAGUAUGGGACAUUCUCCAAUGACUUCUUCAGUCACUCCUACUCUUUCAUUCAUUCUGCAUGUGUUUUCCAAGUGCCUACAAGUCCUAGGAGCUGUGCCGGAUGCUGGGUGCUCAGGGUUGAUGAAUAUUUUGCACACACACUUGUUUAGUCUGGUAGGAGAAACAGAGGUCAAUCAAACAGCUCACAAAUUAAAAUUGACCUACAGUGGGGAUAAGGACUACAAGAAAGCCUGGGGCUGGGAAAAAGGAGAAGAGGAAGAUCAAGCCGCAGAUACGGAGCACUGCAGACAGUGGUGUAAGGUGAAGCUGGAGGAGUGAAUGGAGCUAUGCUGUGCUGGGUCUUGUAGCUGGAGUCACUGAUUUGAGCUAUAUUGCCCCCAGACACUGGACCUAAGAAAGCAGAGGAAAAGUUUUCCCUCCUUAAUAACAGUAAUGGGAGCCUAGAUCAAUCACACCGCCACGUGGCUGCUCUGAGAAUCGGAUACACAGCCCCCUGGCUUCCAUACCACUGUGAAAACACUUUGCAACAGAAAAUGACCACCAGGCUGGAGUGCAAUGGCAUAAUCUCAGCUCACCGCAACGUCUGCCUCCUGGGUUCAAGCGAUUCUUCUGCCUCAGCCUCCUGAGUAGCUGGGAUUACAGGCACCUACCGCCACGCCUGGCGAAUUUUUUUUUGUAUGUGUGUGGUUUUUUUUUUUUUUAGACAGUCUUGCUGUGUCACCCAGGCUGGAGUGUAGUGGCACGAUCUUGGCUCACUGCAACCUCUGACUCCCAGGUUCAAGUGAUUCUCCUGCCUCAGGUAGCUGGGACUAAACGUGCCUGCCACCAUGCCCAGCAAGGUUUUGUAUUUCUAGUAGAGACGGUGCGGGUGGAUUUCACUAUGUUGGCCCGGCUGGUCUUCAACUCCUGAUCUCCCACCUCAACCUGCCAAAGUGCUGGGAUUACAGACAUGCACCACCAUGCCCAGCCUCUGAAGAAUGUUAAGUACAAAAAAUGAAGCCCAGGUGCAGUGGCUCACGCCUGUAAUCCCAGCACUUUGGAAGGCCGAAGCGGGCAGACCAUGAGGUCAGGAGUUUGAUACCAGCCUGACCAACACAGUGAAACACCAUCUCUACUAAAAAUACAAAAAUUAGCUGGGCGUGGUGGUGUGCACCUGUAAUUCCAGCUACUCGGGAGGCUGAGGCAGGAGAAUCACUUGAACCGAGGAGGUGGAGGGUGCAGUGAGCAGAGAUCACACCACUGCACUCCAGCCUGGGCGACAGAGCAAGGCUCCAUCUCAAAAAGAAAAAUUAAUUGAGGAGAAUUUAUUUUUAUUGACUACAAACUGUUUGGCCAUUCCCAAACCCAAAGAAGCCAUGCUGUGCCACCUGCUGGUUUUUGUCUGCACUGACCUCAGUGUCAAAGGAGACCACUUCUGAACUAGCAGCUGGAGCUUUCCUGGCAGAGGAAGCAAUUUCACGUAGCGCAGUCCUGACGGCUGGAAACUUGCUGCUGUUGAGAACUGAGAUCUCGUUGCCUGUGAGGAACAUAUAGAUGAUAUGCAAACUUUGAAGCUAAAAGUACCAGUCCCUUCAUGAUGGGCUGUUCAGAAGGUCUUUCUAUUCUGAAGCCUACACUAGAAGGUUUUCAGAUGAAGAACCUGGUGCAGAGAUUAAAUGAUCCCCAGGACAGGGCAAGGCAGAGCAGACCCUCCUGAACUCAGGUCUG